CGCUGGAUUUACGCCUUUAGAGAGAGAAAGGGGAAGGUGGGGGGUCAGCUUUAGAAUGAAGGGUGAGACUGAGACUUCUGUGGGGUAAGCCUNNNNNNNNNNNNNNNNNNNNAGAAGAAACGAAACGAGAGAGAGAGAGGAGGCGCCCCACCGACCAACCCUUCAACAAGGCUAAUUCUUUGCGCUGGAUUUACGCCUUUAGAGAGAGAAAGGGGAAGGUGGGGGGUCAGCUUUAGAAUGAAGGGUGAGACUGAGACUUCUGUGGGGUAAGCCUCUGAAAAGAACAACGGAACGGAAACGGUGUUUGGGAACAACUGGCGUCGGUAGUUCAACAACCUAUUAAGGCUUCCUUCACAUUGGAAGUGUAAACCUGUGCUCGAGUUUCUCGACUUUUCCCUCACCCUAUACAAAGACGAGGGAAGGAGGCAGGGGAGGUGAUCGAAGAUAUCGCCCCGAGCACUGGAUGGAGUGGUUGGAGGUUAGUAUAUUGAAGGGAGCCGAAAAGGAAUGAGGGGUCGUGCUUUGACUCCGUACUGAUGAUGAAAGGAUGGGCCAGGUGAGGGAACUGGGGAGUCUGGAAAAGUGGCAAUGGG
rnacentral:lncRNA from 1 species